rnacentral:rRNA from 1 species
AGUUCGAUUAUGGCUCAGAUUGAACGCUGGCGGGAUGCUUUACAUGCAAGUCGAACGGCAGCACGGACUUCGGUCUGGUGGCGAGUGGCGAACGGGUGAGUAAUGUAUCGGAACGUGCUAGUAGCGGGGGAUAACUACGCGAAAGCGUAGCUAAUACCGCAUACGCCCUUCGGGGGAAAAGCGGGGACCUUCGGGCCUCGCACUAUUAGAGCGGCCGAUAUCGGAUUGGCUAGUUGGUGGGGUAACGGCUCUGCAGGCGACGAUCCGUAGCUGGUUUGAGAGGACGACCAGCCACACUGGGACUGAGACACGGCCCAGACUCCUACGGGAGGCAGCAGUGGGGAAUUUUGGACAAUGGGGGAAACCCUGAUCCAGCCAUCCCACGUGUGCGAUGAAGGCCUUCCCGGGUUGUAAAGCACUUUUUGGCAGGAAAGAAACGCUGGGAUAAUACCCGUGCAACUGACGGUACAGAAUAAGCACCGGCUAACUACGUGCCAACAGCCACUGACGGUAAUACGUAAGUGCAAAGCGUUAAUCGGAAUUACUGGGCGUAAAGCGUGCGCAGGCGGUUCGGAAAGAAGAUGUGAAAUCCCAGAGCUUAACUUUGGAACUGCAUUUUUAACUACCGAGCUAAGAGUGUGUCAGAGGAGGUGGAAUUCCGCGUGUAGCAGUGAAAUGCGUAGAUAUGCGGAGGAACACCGAUGGCGAAGACAGCCUCCUGGGAUAACACUGACGCUCAUGCACAGCGUGAAACAAACAGGAUUAAGAUACCCUGGUAGUCCACGCCCUAAACGAUGUCAACUAGCUGUUGGGGCCUUCGGGCCUUGGUAGCGCAGCUAACGCGUGAAGUUGACCGCCUGGGGAGUACGGUCGCAAGAUUAGAAACUCAAAGGAAUUGACGGGGACCCGCACAAGCGGUGGAUGAUGUGGAUUAAUUCGAUGCAACGCGAAAAACCUUACCUACCCUUGACAUGUCUGGAAUCCCGAAGAGAUUUGGGAGUGCUCGCAAGAGAACCGGAACACAGGUGCUGCAUGGCUGUCGUCAGCUCGUGUCGUGAGAUGUUGGGUUAAGUCCCACCAGGCGCAACCCUUGUCAUUAGUUGCUACGAAGGGCACUCUAAUGAGACUGCCGGUGACAAACCGGAGGAAGGUGGGGAUGACGUCAGAGUCCUCAUGGCCCUUAUGGGUAGGGCUUCACACGUCAUACAAUGGUCGGGACAGAGGGUCGCCAACCCGCGAGGGGGAGCCAAUCCAGAGAAACCCGAUCGUAGUCCGGAUCGCAGUCUGCAACUCGACUGCGUGAAGUCGGAAUCGCUAGUAAUCGCGGAUCAGCAUGUCGCGGUGAAUACGUUCCCGGGUCUUCCAAUACACACCGCCCGUCACACCAUGGGAGUGGGUUUUACCAGAAGUAGUUAGCCUAACCGUAAGGAGGCGAUUACCACGGUAGGAUUCAUGACUGGGAUUGAAGUCGUAACAAGGUAG